CCUACGGGAGGCAGCAGUGGGGAAUAUUGCACAAUGGGCGCAAGCCUGAUGCAGCGACGCCGCGUGCGGGAUGGAGGCCUUCGGGUUGUAAACCGCUUUUGUUCAAGGGCAAGGCACGGUCUUUGGCCGUGUUGAGUGGAUUGUUCGAAUAAGCACCGGCCAACUACGUGCCAGCAGCCGCGGUAAUACGUAGGGUGCAAGCGUUAUCCGGGUUUAUUGGGGGUAAAGGGCGCGUAGGCGGUUCGUCGCGUCCGGUGUGAAAGUGCAUGGCUUAACGGUGGAACCGCGCCGGGUACGGGCGGGCUUGAGUGCCGUAGGGGAGACUGGAAUUCCCGGUGUAACGGUGGAAUGUGUAGAUAUCGGGAAGAACACCAAUGGCGAAGGCAGGUCUCUGGGCCGUUACUGACGCUGAGGAGCGAGAGCGUGGGUAGCGAACAGGAUUAGAUACCCCGGUAGUC
rnacentral:rRNA from 1 species